CUUGCUGAAGUUUCCAUGACAACAAUUAGUGACGGUUUUUCUUUUGUGACACAUAUAGUGUAGGUUUACUUCCAGCUUCGUCGAUUACCAGACGGCACCGGCGUCGCGCGAGCGAGCUUGAUCUUGCGCCUUGUGCCUGCUAGCUGCUUCGGCGGCGGCGGUUAUCUUCUUCCGGUGAUUAAUCCUAUAUACCUACUAUUUGCUUGCUUAAGUGACGCCCAUAUAUUGCGCGCGAUUAAUCUUGAUAUGUAAAGUGUUCUCGAUCUGUUCCGCUGCUGUUCGUCGUCUCAGGCUAAAUGGACUUGGAAGUUUUCCUGGCCAUUCUUUACUCAGAUUGUCCGGAUUCAUUACAUUUUGAGUAUCUGGCCUGCAAGUGCUGUUUAUGAAAAUGAUCACCCUAUUCGGCAUUUUCAGAUUUAUGUAAUGCAAUAUUUUUCUGUGUUUCUAAAAUUUGCCACCUUGUGCUCAAUCACCAGCUCCUUCCGAUCUUCUAAUUGCCCGGCCUUCAUUCGAAUUCUCUAGACACAUCUUAAUUGAACUUAAUUUAAGCUAGCGCUCUGUUCACUCAAAUUAUUUUCUAAUUUAAGUCGUGUUAUUUCUCUCCUAAUCAUUUUAUAUGUUAAACUUAAUAAUAUUUGUCUUUGCAAUAAAAGUAGUAAUAGUUCACUAAACACUUAGCUAAACGUCUAAAAAACAGUUGGAUCAAAUGGAAUUAUCAAAAUUCCCUGCAUACCAAUUUACAUGCUUUAGUUAUACUCUCGCUUUAAAUAUUGCACUCUGUAUUUUUUUCAUUUUUUAAAGACUAGAAAGAAAAGACCUUUGCGUUGCAAAGGGUGAAGGCUAUUUAAUCUUAUUAUUAUUAUAUGAUUUAGUUAAGGUAAAAUUCAAUAUGGAAAUUCGAUUGGAUAUAGGAGUAUAUAUUUUAGAAAACCAUGAGCUUCAGUUAGCAAUCCGAUCGUUUAAAGUUAGCAUGCAUGUUUUUUUUAUAAAGAGAUUUCUUAUAUGACUCCUAUAUUUCCAAAAGCGAACAACUGUAAAACCGACUCAAAUAUGGAAAUUAUUUCCAAAAGCAAACGAGAUUAAAAACCAACUCAAAUACGGAUGACGUACCGAAGUACCGGCAAAAACAUCUUUAAUUUUUAUAAUAGUAGAGAAGAGAUAGAGAUGUGUAAAUUAUAGUGCAUGUAAUAAAGUAUCAUCUUUCAUAAUUAAACCAUGAUUGCAAAAGAAAACAUAUUGAUGAAAACAAUAUUACCUACCAUUUAUCUAAAAUAUAUUUAGAAAGUUUCAAGAUAACUCUUUUUUUUAAAAAAAAAACCAAUUUCGAUACCGGAACACCAAAUUGUAGGUGCUAAAAUCAAUGAUUUAUAAUUUAGAACUGCAUUAGAAAAUGUUGAGGUGCACAUAUAUUAAUCUGAAUCAUAUUUAUAUGAUUCUCAUGAAUUAAAAGUUUAAGAUUCAAAUUGAACAAAACUAUUAAUACGUCACAGGCAAUCAUUUUCCCGCCAUUUAGUUUUACACAAAACCACGAGUUGCGUAGUCGUUUCCGCUGUGGCCAUUUAUUAGUGCAGGGCAUGCUGCCCAUAGCCUCUGAUAGACUGACAAUCCAUGUGCCUAUUUCUACUACCUCGAUCAACGAUCUGAUCUUAAUCAUCUUCUCCAUAAUUUGCAGAUCUGUAACAGCCCCGAUCAAGAAAGGAUCCAACCCACCUAGGAGGACUAACCUGAACGUGCUAAUGAGUUCAAAGCUAGUAACAUCACCUCUGAAAUCCAUGGAGCAGGGCCAUCUAGAGCAACCUCUGCGCGAUCCGCAGGCGCCGGCGGAGCAGCAUGACAUGGGGUUAUCUCCCCUGACGCUCCUCGGCUUCGCCUUCCUGACCUUCAACUCGGGAAUGGCAGUGUACAGAUCAGAUAGAGACUUGGCAACCAUCUUCUUCGUGGUCUUCUCCUACGUUGACCUCGUAUCGCUCUUCUACUUCCUCCGAUUAUUUGAGAAGACGCCGCCGGAGUCGCCUCGCCGCCACCACAUCAAGACGGCGGUGUGGCUCCUGACGACGAUGCUCACCGCCGUGUUUUCAUAUAAAGUGGCGGCCAUCAUGCCUUUCCCGGUUCAGGUGCUGGUUUGGGCCAUGGCCGCAGCAACUGUGCUUGGAGGGUUCUACGCAUUCUUCCUCCACUCCGAUGAAAAAAAGCCUAUUGAGGUAACGUAACAUAAGUAUUAUUACUCCAAAUUGAAGUUUAACCAUCAUCAUGAUGUAUGUAUAUAUAGGGACUGACAGAAUGAAAGUUUAAGAACUUCAUCAUGAGAUGUGAUCGAUCACUGGAAGAAUAUUUCACAGAAACCAAACGAAAGGGACCUAUUGAUUGAUUACCUUGUGCCAAUUCUGCUCUAAUGGCUCUGAAACAGAUGUGCCCACGGAACUGCAUAAAUUUCAAGAGUGGUCUAUGAAAAUUGGAGAAUGGGAGGAAUUGCACACAUGAACUGUCUUGCCAGAGUGGAGAUGCUAUGGUAAUGAUAUACUGGAACUCCUUUUUAUGGGCUCCAUAAUGGCCGCACUUGGCAUCCGACUAUCUGAGCACGGAAAUUUUCAGUGGCAAAACCUUACUGCGAAUAGAAGCAAAGCACUGCAAAAUCUAGAGCUUUGCAUGGGUCAAGUACUCAAGUUUAUGACCUUUUUCAGACAAGGGAUACAAUCUGGCUUGGCCCAAAGAACACAUUACAGAGACAGAGACAAUGGGCUCCAUAAUCUUCCAUUGAAAAGAAAAAUAAGAAACUGGAGCUGGAGUGGGAGAUGUUUCAAGAAGAAUUGAGCCAUCAAUCUCUCUCUCUCUGGUUUCCUACUGGCCCUGGAGCCUCCAUAUGCAAACAUUCUUUUAAUAAAUAUGCAAAUUUUCUGCACUAAAAUCCGCCACACAUCAAUAAAAAGGGCAGUCCUUUUGAUGAUAAAACAGCGCCAUUAUAUUAAAACAAAACCUUUAAUAUAAUAUCGAUAUAUUAAGGGCAUAUUCGGUAAGCUGGGACUGCAGCUGCAGCUGCUACAGCCCCUGCUAUCUUGGAGCUAGUCCAGCCGAACAGCCCUAAGAAGCAAAAAGAGUGUGUCGAGAGUCGAACACGGUUUGUUGGGACUUGGGAGCACAAUGACAGCCCUACCCACUCAAACAUAUAUAAAUUUGACGAUAACUAGUAUUUGUACCAAACAAAGUUACUCGAAUGAGAAAACUGGAACAGAGCUCAACCAAUCAAACGAAAGUGACAACACCCCAUUCAACAUGCUGGUACAGCAGCUAGGAUCAUACUAGUGACUUGAGCAAAUGCACAUUCCAUCUCCUCCCUUUGUACCUUAAUUUCUUCUUUAGAUGAUUUGCAGUUUAAAUUACCUUGUUCUCGGUUUUGUCGAUAUAUAGGUCAUCUCUCCUGUGGCAGUCUAAUUAACCCUGGUUUGUUGUUCAAUUGUGCAGGGAUAGGCAAAAUACUUGAUAGGGCUUUCUGGCUGUUUGGCAUUUGUCAGACGCCCUGUGUGUGGUAACAUCUCGAUCAAAUUGGAGGUCGAAAUUAAAUAUAUCCGAGUGCACCCGGGAUACUGCUAAUACUGCCUUUCAUCGAAUUGAAGUAGGGAUGCACACUACCCUGCAUUCGCCUCUGGAGCAGCAACGUGAGACAGACAGAGGAAGACGCAAGACACAGCGGCAUUGCUGAACUUGUGCACACAGAUUACGAGAAUUGGGAAGCGUCGUUUACAAGAACAAAGAAGAAGUAAUUUAGCAAGAAUCAAAGGAAGCGGCCAGAUUAGUUGCAUUGCAAUGUCAGCUAAUGAGACAAUCCUCUGGCCAUGUGCAAAGAGCUUGAGACAAGGUGCUCGACGACUUGAGAGAGGUCGAUGUUUACAUGUUAAAACUUGAAGGCGAAAACAAGGGUUCCAAUCUCCCCGUCGUUUUUUGUAGGUACAAUUUUUGUGCUCCAGGCUUAGAGAAGACCAGGACGCAGUCAAGUCAAAUGUACAAAAUUAAGAUUUUUAAAGAUUUCGUCAGCAAUGACAUUUCCUGGAUUU